rnacentral:lncRNA from 1 species
CUGAACACUAUGCAGAAAGGAGGAAUGUACAGCAGAGACAAAGAGCUUCUGCUCUGUAGCAUGCUGGCUUUUAGUGCGUCUGCAGACAUGCUGCAGCCCAGACCCUUUGAAAGCAGAACUGAAAGCUACCACUAUACACUGCAGCUGGGCACUGUGAAGAAUGAAGCACUCGGCCUGACUGGCAGAACCAGCACCAACAUGGAAGCAGAAACAUAAAGGCAAGCUAUGAGCGACAGGGCAGAAUUAUGACAAACAGGUAGGGUGAGUGCCCAGUUGAAGGGACACUUGCAUCUUCUCAAUCAGAAAGUACACAGUACUUGAGCAC